rnacentral:tRNA from 2 species
CGGGGGAUGGCGCAGCUGGUUUAGCGCGCAGCGUUCGGGACGCUGAGGUCGAGGGUUCAAAUCCCUCUCCCCCGACCC